UCAGAUGAUGUCUGUCCUGUGCAUAAAGCC
rnacentral:piRNA from 1 species